GCUUGCCAUUUUCCAGUGAAGAAAUUAUAAUUCUUGCCAUCCACAAUCUCUCCUUCCCAAAAGGUUACUACCGGUGUGUCCGCCAUAGGAACAUUAAGAGCCUCCAUCGUGCCACAGAGAUACCCAUGUUCAAGGUCCAAUCCCUGUAUUCGUACAUUCACCCUCCACGCCUCAUCCUUUUGAUUAUUCGAGACAUUUUGAGUACCGGAGAACGCCUGUCCAACACUCAACAGUGUACAAGCUUGAGGAGUGGUCUGCCUAGGAUCAGCACCUGAAAUUUGAGAAGGCGUAGAGCUCUCAACUCGCACCGGCAUUUCUUUGCCGCUAAAUUUCCGGUUGUUGCAAUUAGCGAGCAGUUUAACGGUUAUUUGUUCAACGGAGCUUUUU
rnacentral:misc_RNA from 1 species